AAACUUUGAAUCCAAAAAACAGGAGUCUAUAAAUAUAGAGAGUCUCAAGCCUUCUCUUCUCUCUAUCUGUAAUCGUUUUAGUUUCAUUAAACAAACCCUUGAGAAAUACACACAGAGAGAAUUAUAGAGUGGGAGAGAUGAAAUUACAUACGCAAUUGCUCUGAUUUGUUUCUCCAUUCUCUUCUUCGAUUCCUGCUUCGAUUGCUUCUAUUUCAUCUCUAAUGAUGCUCUGGUUCUUCUCCUUCCUUUGUCUCUCGAUCAUGGCGUAACGAUAACUUCUCUCAGUCUCCGUCGUCGGAAGUUUUUGUACUUUUGUUUGACUUCAAAGGACGUCGGAUUUUGUUUACUCUGUCUUUGGUUCAUCGGAAGCUUUUGCGUUUCUCAGUCACGGACACGCUUUGGUUCAUUGGAUGAUCGGAUUAUCGGAAGCUUUUGCUUUUCUCAGUCACGGACACGGUGGUGGGGAAAAAGGCCUUGGAUUGCGAAAGGAUUUUCAGCCCAUGAAUUAUUUGAGGUAUAUUUUUCUGUCCCAUCAUAUUUAAUGUUUUUUGUUUCCUUUGUUUUUUUUUUUUUUUUUUUAAUUUUAUUGUUUUGAUACUAAAUUUAUAUUACGAUAUAUGAAAACUAACCGGAUUUUGGAUCCAGCAUUAGUUGUUAGAGAUUCCAAAUAUUCAACUUGUAUUUUGUAACAUCGUUAUGUAAAUUGUUUGUAUCCAAGUUUUUAAUUCUAACUUUUCAAAUAGCUUUUAAAUUUUUUACUUUUUCUAUUCGAAUUUUUAAAAGUUUUUUGUAUUUUCUUAUUUUAAUUUUAAUGUUUUGAUACUAAAUCUACCUAAUGCUAUAUGAAACUAACCGGAUUUUGGAUCCUGCAUUAGUCGUUAGUGAUUCCAAAUAUUCAAUUUGUUUUCAUAUCAUGGUUACGUUGAUUUUAGUAUCCAAAUUUUUUAAAACAGUUUUAAUUUUUUUAUAUCUUUUCUAUUCCGAUAUUUAAAGUUUUUUAGUGUUUUUUCAUAAUUUAAAUGUUUUGAUACUAAACUAACCGGAUUUUGGAGAUUCUAAAUAUUCCAACUUGUUUUCAUAUCAUCAUAGUUAUGUAGAUUUAGUAUGCAAGUUUCACAUGAGAUUCCCGGAAAAGUGCAGCUGAAGUAUUGUACAUCAUCCACCAAACUUUGAUAUUGUUGAAUCGGCCACCAUGGGACUAUUCUGGCGGCAACCUUAAGACUUGGUGUUGAUUGGAGUAAAUCAAGAAUCGCCUUCUCUUUGUGAAUGAAUUACAAUUCGAGAGCAGAAAAUAGAAGCCAAAGGGGUGAAAAAUUGAAGUCUACUAAUUUUGGUUAUAUAUACAAAACUAGAAGGAAAACG
rnacentral:lncRNA from 1 species